rnacentral:misc_RNA from 1 species
UCGGGCAAGGUUGUAGAGCUUUCCCAUUUAGGUGAACGCAACCUUCACGGUGAACGCGAUGGAGUCAAGGUUCGCCAGCGUAAUCACGCCAAAGUCGCCAUAGAUGUCCAUAUUGCCGCCAGUCGGGGGGCGGGGGGGAGCCCGUUCCGGCUGCGUCAAACACCCCGACCUCGGUGAUUGACCGAGCUCCAGCAGCAGUAAUAGUGCCAACAACCUGAUACGUGUCAUUGGUCUGCGUCGUGGUGAACUGAGAUGAUGUGCCGAGAACGCGCGCCUCUGUCGUGGAGGUGGUCGUUACGACGUUUGCUGACGCAGCAGCGCCAGUGCCCGUGCCCCACUGUAGAUAAAGUGGACGCGAAGCAUAGCCAUUCCAGCCAGCCGUCAAGUUGGCUAGCCCGUUGUUCUGGAUUCUCGCGGUCAUUGUUUAAAUCCCAACUUGCGCCGAAGGCGAUAAAGAAAGCGCUUGACCGGAUUUCUGUGCCAGUAAGACACCACGCCGUGGUGCUCUACCGUUCCAUCCGCCCGAAUGACCGUAAUUUCAAUUGAGGCUGACUUUGCCUCUCCAUGAGCCGAAACCGUUGACAUCAUCAGCUCUUCUUCAUCUCGAUCAUGAUGGUGCCCUUCUUGCCCGAGCCGAGGCC